AGAUUCCAUCUUCUCUCGCUCUCC
rnacentral:siRNA from 1 species